AGGAGUGACAGAGUUGGCCUUGCUUCUGAUGGAGAAAAGUUGACCAGAUGUGACCGUACAGGCCGCUCGCAUGGGCCGCUCAUACAGAUAAGAAAGAGCAAAGGCCAACACUGUCACUGCUUCUCACUAAAGCACAUCAAGCUACCUAUAUGUUACUCAAGGGGAAUGAUCUAAAUUUUCAGAAUCCAUCAUGCCCCCCUAAAGAAGGUGUGUGAAGGACAUCACGAAACACCUCAAGAAGUCUCAGAGAGUGCAAUCCUGCCUGCUUUUUCUCGUAAGACGCAAUGGAUGCAUUCAGAUGACAUACUUUCUCCAUGAACAGUAAAACUUCUUGUGUGAAGAAUGUUCGUGGAGUUUAAAAAACAAAAUCUCAAGUAUCAUCAGAGUCACUGGACUGCUGAACAGUUGAAAACGGAGCAGUAAUCUUUGAAACCGGUAACUCCAGUUCCAGUGGGUUUCUCUGUGUAGAGAUCUCUGGCUGUCCUGGAACUUACUCUACAGACCAGGUUGGCCUCAAACUCAAGAGAUCCACCUGCCUCUGCCUCCCAGGUGCUGGGAUUACAGGCUUUAAAGGAAGGCUGUGUGGAAGAUACGGAAGGCUGGCCAGGAUGGAUGGAAACCUGGCCUCUCUAAUCAGCUUAUGAAAACCGAUAAUAGUAAUUAUAAUACUGCAAGUAAAAUAAAUGCUCAAAGAG
rnacentral:lncRNA from 1 species